GACGAACGCUGGCGGCGUGCUUAACACAUGCAAGUCGAACGGAAAGGCCCUGCUUUUGUGGGGUGCUCGGGUGGCGAACGGGUGAGUAACACGUGAGUAACCUGCCCUUGACUUUGGGAUAACUUCAGGAAACUGGGGCUAAUACCGGAUAGGAGCUCCUGCUGCAUGGUGGGGGUUGGAAAGUUUCGGCGGUUGGGGAUGGACUCGCGGCUUAUCAGCUUGUUGGUGGGGUAGUGGCUUACCAAGGCUUUGACGGGUAGCCGGCCUGAGAGGGUGACCGGCCACAUUGGGACUGAGAUACGGCCCAGACUCCUACGGGAGGCAGAGGUGGGGAAUAUUGCACAAUGGGCGGAAGCCUGAUGCAGCAACGCCGCGUGCGGGAUGACGGCCUUCGGGUUGUAAACCGCUUUCGCCUGUGACGAAGCGUGAGUGACGGUAAUGGGUAAAGAAGCACCGGCUAACUACGUG
rnacentral:rRNA from 1 species